AUCUUAUUCUUUAUUUAUUUUUAUAUGCAACAAUAUAUGAUUUUUAAAUGAGUCUUAGAUUCAUAUGACUUCCUUUGUGAACAUUAUUACUAAAUAAAUGCUAACUCUUCAUACGGCAUUAUCACCUUUGGGCACAUUAGUAUUAUAGUAUGUUUGACAAACUUGAGUAAAAUGGAUGCAUGAAAUAAGAGAUGCUUUGUCAUUUGAUCACAAGAGCAUAUUUGGUUAUGAUACCCCAAACAUAAGCUCUAACCUUAAUCUGAAAUUAACGCAC